UCGGGUGAAAGCCCUGAUGGACCGAACCGCAGGUGAUACCCGUCCCACCCUGACGGUGCUGCCCCCCUCCAGUGAGGAGCUGCAGCAGGGGAAGGCCACGCUCAUGUGUCUGGCCAACAAGGGCUUCCCCUCAGACUGGAGGCUGUCCUGGAAGAUGGAUGGCAGCAGCAGCAGUGACGGGGAGGAGAGCAGGAGCCCUGUAGUGCUGCAGAAUGACGACUUCUACAGCUGGAGCAGCACCCUGAGGCUCACUGCAGACCAGUGGGGGAAGGUGGGCUCUGUGAGCUGUGAGGCCACCCAGGGCUCCCAGACUCUGGUCUCAAGGACACUCAGCAGAGACCAGUGUUCCCAGUCCUGA